GGAUAACCUGCCCUAUUGUCUGGAAUAACCUCGGGAAACUGAGAACAAGGCCGGAUAGCCCACAAUGCCUGGAACGGUUUGUGGGUGAAGAUAGGAUGGGUCUGCGGCGUAUCAGGUUGUAGGGGGUGUAAUGGACCUCCUAGCCAUCGACGCGUACGGGUGUUGGGAGACAUAGCCCGGAGAUGGAUUCUGAGACACGAAUCCAGACCCUACGGGGUGCAGCAGGCGCGAAAACUUCACACUGCAGGAAACUGUGAUGAGGGAACUCCAAGUGCUAUCACUAUGUGGUAGCUUUUCUUGACUAUUAAUCGGUCAUGGAAUAAGGGCUGGGAAAGACCGGUGCCAGCCGCCGCGGUAAUACCGGCAGCUCAAGUGGUCGUCGCUUUUAUUGGGCCUAAAACGUCCGUAGCCUGUUUGGUAAAUCUGUGGGUAAAUCAACCAGCUUAACUGGUUGAAUUCUGCAGAGACUGCCAGACUAGGGACCGGGAGAGGUGUGGGGUACUCUAGGGGUAGGGGUAAAAUCCUGUCAUCCUUAGAGGACCACCAGUUGCGAAGGCGCCACACUGGAACGGAUCCGACGGUCAGGGACGAAGCCUAGGGGCACGAACCGGAUUAGAUACCCGGGUAGUCCUAGGUGUAAACGCUGUGAACUUGGUGUCGGGGAUCCGUAAUGGGUCCUCGGUGCCGGAGUGAAGAUGUUAAGUUCACUGCCUGGGGAGUACGGUCGCAAGGCUGAAACUU
rnacentral:rRNA from 1 species